rnacentral:tRNA from 1 species
GCCGGAGUGGUGAAACUGGUAGNNCGCACGGGACUCAAAAUCCCGCGGGGGCAACCCCAUGUCGGUUCGAUUCCGACCUCCGGCACCA